rnacentral:rRNA from 1 species
UACGGGGGGGGCAAGCGUUGUUCGGAAUUACUGGGCGUAAAGGGCUCGUAGGCGGCCAACUAAGUCGGACGUGAAAUCCCCAGGCUCAACCUGGGAACUGCGUCCGAUACUGGAUGGCUUGAAUCCGGGAGAGGGAUGCAGAAUUCCAGGUGUAGCGGUGAAAUGCGUAGAUAUACUGGAGGAAUACCGGUGGCGAAGGCGGCAUCCUGGACCGGCAUUGACGCUGAGGAGCGAAAGCCAGGGGAGCAAACGGGG